AUAAUAUAAUGGUUGAGAAAUUGUCCUUUUUCGAAUUUCCAAGUUAAUGAGACAAAUCUCUGCCUAGGGUGGAUGUCAUUGAAACCUGUUCCCUGCGAGUAAUCGGCCGAUCGGUCGGUUAACAGCCAAACUUUUGACUGACGUGACUUAUUACCAUGUCUUUCGCAGAUGGUCCCUUUCUGCAGUCUCGGGAUACGUGUCAACGAUGUACCAAUAAUUUACCGAUAUCUGCUCCGGCCAAAUUGUCACGCUGUCCUGUUCAAGUGACGAGCUCAACUGCGUUGACCUACUGUCCAGGAGCAACCGAAAAAAGGUCCUCUAGAUUUUAAUUUACUUUGUGACGAACAUGCAUAUGCAACAGCAAAAAGGAUCGUAUCUACAAAAAGCAUCACGGUUACCAAAGAAGCGGAACCGAGAACACUUCUCCUUUAACAGAUCCCAUCUAGAAGAUCCGGCAACGCGAAGGGAAGCGGUGAACCUGAAUACAGAUGCUCUACAAGCUACUGCAGAAUAUCAGCGAUGGGUGAGUGUCGUGAUUAAGUACAACCAUGAAUCAGUAUGUACAUAAAAUUUCAUGCACUACAAAGUAAAUAUUCCAACGAAAUAGUAUGCUUAUUUAUAAAGAGAAAACGGUAUAUUUCGGGAGAUUAACGAUAAUAAGCGUAGAUAUUUAACAACCUUCUAAUUACGGAAAUACAUAUUUUGGAAUAUUAUUCGUUCUCGGUAUUUCACUGAAUAUCAGUUUACUCCGUUCUAUUUCGACCCCCUCCCACAAAUAUCGUUGAUAUGACGGCAGCAAUUAUCGCGUCAAAACACAGCUACGAGUAACAUGGCGUGAAAAUUGUUUACGACAAUCGCCACUUUCUGCAAUUACGAUCCGUAAAUAUCUCUCGACCGAUUGCAGCCAUCUAGUGCCGGUUAAUUAUAGAAGGACAAUAUUUCCCGUAUAUUGAUCGUAUCGUUGUUCAAUUAGAGCGCAGAGAAACGUUAUUAUUACCGAAUCAUACGAUGAUUGUUAAUUAUAUCUCUUUAUCGUUUCCUUGUCAUCCAAAUUUAAAUAAAAUAAUUUUCUAUUGAAAGCAACUUUUUAAAUAUCAGCUUCGCGGCUCUAAAUCUCGAAAAAUAUAAUUUAACCGUCUAUAAAUCACGUAAGCAGAAUCUGGAACGGGCUAAUAAAUAACUCGCUGAGUUUCGCUUCGCUGCAUUCGGACCCUGAAGCGUUGCAGAAGCUCGCUAACUUGAACUUUCAAUUGAUCUUUGCGAGGUAACUUUCACUGAAACGAUCAUAACUUGAAGAGAAUUCAACACAGGUCUCCGUUAACACCUUCCUCCUUUCGUUCGAAGUAGCUACAAAAGCGCGUUAACCCUUUCAGUAUUUACUUCGUCAUAACUACUCGUUUGCUGCAAUAUCGGUGCAGUUGCAGUUGCAGUUUAUGAGAAAAG